GCCUCCAGUCAGAAGUUGAGGGAGAAAGGCAGGUCCGGGAACAGGCUGAGACUGAGGUGGCCUCCUUGAACCGUAGAAUCCAGCUGGUUGAAGAGGGGCUGGAUUGUGCUUAGGAGCGCCUGGCCACUGCCCUGCAAAAGCUGGAAGAAGCGGAAAAAGCUGCUGAUAAGAGUGAGAAAGGUAUGAAGGUUAUCGAAAACCAGGACUUAAAAGAUGAAGAAAAGAUGGAACUCCAGGAAAUCCAACUCAAAGAAGCUAAGCACAUUGCAGAAGAGGCAGCAGAUCAGAAGUAUGAAGGGGUGGCUUGGAAGUUGGUGAUGACUGAAGGAGACUUGGAACGUACAGAGGAACAAGCUGAGCUGGCAGAGCCCCGAUGCCAAGAGAUGAGCAGAUCAGACUGAUGGACCAUAACCUGAAGUGGCUCAGCGCUCCUGAAGAAAAGUACUCUCAAAAAGAAGACAAAUAUGAGGAAGAGAUCAAGAUUCUUACUGAUAAACUCAAGGAGGCAGAAACCCGUGCUGAGUUUGUUGAGAGAUUGGUAGCCAAGCUGGAAAAGAUGAUGACUUGGAAGAUAAAACUGAAAUGCACCAAAGAGGAGCACCUCUGUACACAAAGGAUGCUGGACCAGACUCUGAUUGAUCUGAAUGAGAUGUAGAAUGCUCCAGUCCCACCCUGCUGCUGCUCCUCCCUCUGACCCUGACUUCACCUGAGGCCAGCCUGCGUGAGGCUGACCUUCAACUGAGGGCUGCUCUUUAACUGGAAGGCCGCAUUCUCCUUUUGCCGCCCCUCUCCCUGGAUCUUUUUCACCAAACUGUCUCUGCCUCUUCCUGGAGAUUCCAGCUGGGUUAGAGGUUGGGCACCCUUGGAAACAACAUUUAAGGGAAUGUGAGCACAAUGCAUAAUGUCUUUUAAAAGCAUGUUGUGAUGUACACAUUUUGUAAUGUCCUUUUUUGUUGUUUUGUAGCAACCAUUUGUAAAACAUUCCAAAUAAUUCUACAGCCUUGAAGCAGCAAUCUAAUGCCUUUCUCACUUUUGGAAGGUGACUUUUCAGCUUAAUGCAUAUUACCCUCUCCAUAGAGGAGAGGAAAACGUACAGGCCUGUCUAACUGAGAGCCAAACAGAGCUCAGGGAAAGACUCUAC